rnacentral:rRNA from 1 species
GAUGAACGCUGGCGGCGUGCUUAACACAUGCAAGUCGUACGGUAAGGCCCUUUCCGGGCUCCACGAGUGGUAACCGCGGGCGUAACACGAACGUGACCUGCACCCAACUAUGGGAUAACGCUAGGAACCUGGAGCCAAUACUGGAUAUGUACUACUGCUGCAAGGUCAGGGUUGGAUAGUUCCGGCGGUUGUGGGUGGACUCGCGGCCUAUCAGCUUGUUGGUGGGGUAGUGGCCUACCAAGGCGGCGUCGGGUAGCCGCCCUGUGGAGCUGACCGGCCACACUGAGACUUACAUACGGCCCAGGCACCUACUGGUGGCAGCAGGGGGGAAGCUUGCACGAUGGGCGCCACCCUGGUGCAGCAACGCCGCGUGCCGGAUGACGGCCUUCGGGUUGUAAACCGCUUUUAGCAGGGACUAAGCUUUUUGUGACGGUACCUACAGAAGAAGCACCGGCUAACUACGUG